rnacentral:rRNA from 1 species
CACGUAGGGGGCAAGCGUUGUCCGGAUUUAUUGGGCGUAAAGAGCUCGUAGGCGGCUUAGUAAGUCGGGUGUGAAACCUCCAGGCUCAACCUGGAGACGCCACCCGAUACUGCUGUGGCUAGAGUCCGGUAGGGGAGCGUGGAAUUCCUGGUGUAGCGGUGAAAUGCGCAGAUAUCAGGAGGAACACCGGUGGCGAAGGCGGGUCUCUGGACAGUUCCUGACGCUGAGGCACGAAGGCCAGGGGAGCAAACGGG